GACUCCGUGGUCUAAUGGAUAAGGCGUCUGACUUCGAAUCAGAAGAUUGUGGGUUCGAGUCCCGUCUGGGUCG
rnacentral:tRNA from 1 species